CGGGUGAGUAAUGUCUGGGGAUCUGCCCGAUAGAGGGGGAUAACCACUGGAAACGGUGGCUAAUACCGCAUAACGUCGCAAGACCAAAGAGGGGGACCUUCGGGCCUCUCACUAUCGGAUGAACCCAGAUGGGAUUAGCUAGUAGGCGGGGUAAUGGCCCACCUAGGCGACGAUCCCUAGCUGGUCUGAGAGGAUGACCAGCCACACUGGAACUGAGACACGGUCCAGACUCCUACGGGAGGCAGCAGUGGGGAAUAUUGCACAAUGGGCGCAAGCCUGAUGCAGCCAUGCCGCGUGUAUGAAGAAGGCCUUCGGGUUGUAAAGUACUUUCAGCGGGGAGGAAGGCGACGGGGUUAAUAACCCUGUCGAUUGACGUUACCCGCAGAAGAAGCACCGGCUAACUCCGUGCCAGCAGCCGCGGUAAUACGGAGGGUGCAAGCGUUAAUCGGAAUUACUGGGCGUAAAGCGCACGCAGGCGGUCUGUUAAGUCAGAUGUGAAAUCCCCGGGCUUAACCUGGGAACUGCAUUUGAAACUGGCAGGCUUGAGUCUUGUAGAGGGGGGUAGAAUUCCAGGUGUAGCGGUGAAAUGCGUAGAGAUCUGGAGGAAUACCGGUGGCGAAGGCGGCCCCCUGGACAAAGACUGACGCUCAGGUGCGAAAGC
rnacentral:rRNA from 1 species